rnacentral:rRNA from 1 species
CCCUGCCAUUUGUACACACCGCCCGUCGCUCCUACCAACUGGAUGAAGAGAUGAAUUUGAGCGACUGGUCAAUUUUUUUAUUAAAAUUGACUGGGAAAUCAACUGAAUCUCUUUGUCUGUAGGAAGGAAAAGUCGUAACAAGGUCUUCGU